GGGGAUUUAGCUCAGUGGCAGAGCGCUUGCCUAGCAAGCACAAGACCCUGGGUUCAGUCCCCAGCUCCG
rnacentral:tRNA from 1 species